CCCAAAGCCCCGCCCACGGGCCCCGCCGCGCGUGCGCGGCCACGCCCCCAUCCGCCUGGGGUUCAGCCGUACGACGUGUCCGCCGUCACCCCGCGCAAGGCCUGUCGGUCCCGCUGCUCAGCCCACGGGCCAGAGCCGCGCGCCGGCCUCCGGUGGAGGGCCCUGUUCCCCAGCGAUCGGCCCUUUUCGGAAAUCGGGGGGAAGCUGCAGUACCCAGUAACCGCCUGUAUUGCGGAGGAGAGACAGAAGGUUGUGCCCGAGCACAGGAGAAACUGCAGCCGCCCGCAGCCGUCGGGCCCUGCCUGGGGGACUCCCCGAGCUCGCGGGCCGCUGGGGACUGUAGUCUUUGUGACGCGCCCCCCAGCACUCUCCACGCCUCCUCUCCGUAAGCUCAGCUCUACGUGGGGACAGGUCCAAGUGCCUUUGAACUACGUAUAAACCCCUCGUUUAUAUGAACAUUCUAGGGCUAAACUGAAGUAUAAAUAAAAGGUGUAUGUUGAAUUAAUCUACAUGCAUCAAGUGCCUACUGUGGACUUGAGUACUUUAUAAUUGGGAAUCUGAAAAGAUGGUGUUGACUACCUGAAUCCCAGUGAUUGGGCCUACUUAACGCUGAGGACCCUGAAUGUACACCAGGCUUUAACUGUCAAGGGCCAAUGUUUGUGUGGCAUGUGUGUCAGGAAAAGGAUAGAGGCAUACUUACCCACUACCCCUUGGAGCCAUUCAGUCCCUCCCUCUCAGAGCUGCCUCCUGUAAUUUGGAGUAUGCUUUCCUGUCACAGGUUUGGCAUUUCCGAACCCCAGUUCCUCCGCACCACCCCCCACCCUCCGCCCAUGAGUCUCAAAGCAUCAAGGUUCUUGUUUUACCUUUUGUGGCAUUUGUAAUGUUACUUCUACAGUCUUAAUUUUACAUUUCAUAAUACCCUCUUCUCCCCACAACCUAUCUCUAUGUAUCAACUUCUGGACAUAAUAAUACCUGUAACAGGAACCAUUAAA